GCAUUUGCCCAGGUGGGCAGCCUCCUCAAGGAAGGGACAUCUAACAGAGGCCUGGAAGAUAAAUGGGACGUGGACAGAUGGGCGUGGCCAGCCAGGGGCCGGAGAUGCAGGAAGUGUUCCACCCAGAGGAAACAGCAAGUGACAGAGCAGCAGCGCUGCUCUGAAUUUCCCUGAGAGCACAGCCAACCCCAUUGCCUGGCCCCAAAGGCCUCUUGGAGUCUGAGAAGAGAGGUGCCCCGCAGGACUGCGCAUUCUCUGGGGCAGAGGAAAGUACCCUACGUUUGGCAGGCCGUGAAGAAGCACAGGGGGUUACCCACUCAUGGCUGCACAGCCUGCUUAGCCAGGCCUGCCCAGGCGGGAACUCCCUACUGGGCAGCCAAGGAGUUCUGCACAGCAGCUAAACCUACAGGGAGAUGGGGGCUUGGAGGUCAUUCUGUCUUGCGCUGAGAGCUGACUCGUCAAAGAGGAUAACCAUUCCCCACAAGGGAGACUGUAGAGGAAGAAGAACAAGCAGACAUGGGUUAUGACUCCAGGAAACCUCCACACUGAGAGCUGCAGACAAGGAGAGCUGUCGUCUGUCUGUCUCCUCAAGAAGAGAUUUCCAGGCUUCCUUCUUCUCCAUGUCAACUGCUCCCAAGCAGGAGCUUAAUGACGGUGUGAUGAAUGAAUGAAUGAAUUUGAGGGGCCUACAAGUAGCUAGCUACCCUUCAACUUUGAGCAGGUGGCUCCAA